UGCCGGAAAAUGAGAUCAUACAUGAGCACAGUUGUGAGAAGGUGCUGGAAAAUGAGAACAUACAUGAGCACAGUCAUGAGAUGGUGCCGGAAAAUGAGAUCAUACAUGAGCAGAGUCAUGAGAAGGUGCCGGAAAAUGAGAAGAUGCAUAAGUGCAGUCAUGAGAAGGUGCCGGAAAAUGAGAUCAUACAUGGUUACAGUCAUGAGAUGGUGCCAGAAAAUGAGAAGAUACAUGAGCGGAGUCGUGAGAAGGUGCCGGAAAAUGAGAUGAUACAUGAGCAGAGUCAUGAGAUGGUGCCAGAAAAUGAGAAGAUACAUGAGCGGAGUCGUGAGAAGGUGCCGGAAAAUGAGAUCAUUCAUGAGCACAGUCGUGAGAAGGUGCCGGAAAAUGAGAACAUACAUGAGCACAGUCAUGAGAUGGUGCCGGAAAA
rnacentral:lncRNA from 1 species